ACCAGGAGUUAACAAACAGGCUCUGCUCCAAACAGUAGCUCGAAUAGAGUACGGUGGUCGCUGUCGUUUAAAUACUAGUCUGUUUAUAACAGGCAAGAUCUUCAAAUUGCGGGGAAGUACUGGGGCUCUAAUCUACCAAGUCAUUGUCUGAAAAGGCAUGAUGGCCUGAGGUAAUAACUCAGGAUAUGGUUACAACGAUUAGAGAUGUUACAAUGUAUGAUUCGCAGCCCAAUCCCUCAAUAUGGGAUCAGGUUCAGAGACUAAACGGAGAUCGAUCUAGGCAUUGAACUAGGUUUAAGAUAUAGUCCAUUAUUCUGCUUAACAGCAAUUGAAUGUAUUAAUUGGGAGCCUGCGGCUUAA
rnacentral:ncRNA from 12 species